rnacentral:misc_RNA from 1 species
AAGUCGUAACAAGGUUUCCGUAGGUGAACCUGCGGAAGGAUCAUUAUCGAGCAAGGGUCCUUCGGGGCCCGACCUCCCAACCCUCGUGUCUACCACACCUCGUUGCUUUGGCGGGCCCGCCUUCAGGGGCCGCCGGCGGUCCUCACGGACCCCUGGCCCGCGCCCGCCAACGGCCCACACAAAACCUGAUCAAACGAACCGUGAAUCUCAGUUUACACAAAAUUAAAUAAAA